ACGGUAGUGAAGUUGCUGAUGCCCUACUUCCAGGAAAAGCCUCUAAGCUUCAGAUUAUUUCGAAUCGUACCCCAAACCGACACAGGUGGUCAGGUAGAGAAUACUAAGGCGCUUGAGAGAACUCGGGUGAAGGAACUAGGCAAAAUUGUACCGUAACUUCGGGAGAAGGUACGCUCUUGAUUGUGAUGGGAUUUACUCCUUAAGCGAUUGAGAGCCGCAGUGACCAGGUGGCUGGGACUGUUUAUUAAAAACACAGCACUGUGCAAAAUCGUAAGAUGACGUAUACGGUGUGACACCUGCCCGGUGCCGGAAGGUUAAUUGAUGGGGUUAGACUUAGGUCGAAGCUCUUGAUCGAAGCCCCGGUAAACGGCGGCCGUAACUAUAACGGUCCUAAGGUAGCGAAAUUCCUUGUCGGGUAAGUUCCGACCUGCACGAAUGGUGUAACCAUGGCCACGCUGUCUCCACCCGAGACUCAGUGAAAUUGAAAUCGCAGUGAAGAUGCUGUGUACCCGCGGCUAGACGGAAAGACCCCGUGAACCUUUACUACAGCUUGGCACUGAACAUUGAACCUACAUGUGUAGGAUAGGUGGGAGACUUAGAAGCACAGUCGCUAGAUUGUGUGGAGUCAACCUUGAAAUACCACCCUUGUAGUUUUGAUGUUCUAACGUAGGUCCCUGAUCGGGAUUGCGGACAGUGCCUGGUGGGUAGUUUGACUGGGGCGGUCUCCUCCCAAAGAGUAACGGAGGAGCACGAAGGUUGGCUAAGUACGGUCGGACAUCGUACGGUUAGUGUAAUGGUAGAAGCCAGCUUAACUGCGAGACAGACACGUCGAGCAGGUACGAAAGUAGGUCAUAGUGAUCCGGUGGUUCUGAAUGGAAGGGCCAUCGCUCAACGGAUAAAAGGUACUCCGGGGAUAACAGGCUGAUACCGCCCAAGAGUUCAUAUCGACGGCGGUGUUUGGCACCUCGAUGUCGGCUCAUCACAUCCUGGGGCUGAAGUCGGUCCCAAGGGUAUGGCUGUUCGCCAUUUAAAGUGGUACGCGAGCUGGGUUUAGAACGUCGUGAGACAGUUCGGUCCCUAUCUGCCGUGGGCGUUUGAGAAUUGAGAGGGGUUGCUCCUAGUACGAGAGGACCGGAGUGAACGAACCGCUGGUGUUCGGGUUGUCAUGCCAAUGGCAUUGCCCGGUAGCUACGUUCGGAACUGAUAAGCGCUGAAAGCAUCUAAGCGCGAAGCAGGCCUCGAGAUGAGUUCUCACUAGAGCUAUAAGCUCUCUGAAGGGCCGUUGGAGACUACAACGUUGAUAGGCUGGGUGUGGAAGCAUGGUGACAUGUUAAGCUAACCAGUACUAAUUACCCGUGAGGCUUAACCAU
rnacentral:rRNA from 1 species